AUUGAACGCUGGCGGCAGGCCUAACACAUGCAAGUCGAACGGUAGCACAGAGAGCUUGCUCUCGGGUGACGAGUGGCGGACGGGUGAGUAAUGUCUGGGAAACUGCCUGAUGGAGGGGGAUAACUACUGGAAACGGUAGCUAAUACCGCAUAACGUCGCAAGACCAAAGAGGGGGGACCUUCGGGCCUCUUGCCAUCAGA
rnacentral:rRNA from 1 species